GCCACCCUUCGGGGCCUGCAAGGACCCAGUUGGAGGGACAGGAAGGGGCUGGGGGAUGGUUGGUGGUGGGCUUUCUACUUUGCCUUUUCCUCCUUAUGCCGCCUUAGUGAGAGGCGGGAGCCCUGGCGGCAGCUCCGGGCCGGGAAACGGGCUCCGGAGUCGGAAGAGCUGGGUUUGCUUCCGGGCCUAGCCACCAGCUGGCCGAGUGACCUUAGGCAAGUCCCUCUGUAAUCUGCGCCUCAGUUUCCUCCUCUGUCGAUGUUUGUGGGAUUAAAAGCGCUUUGUAAACCACAAAGCGUCAGUGUACAUAAGGGAUCAUUAUUAUUUGUAAAAUUUUCUGAUUUGUAAGAAAACAGCCAUUGCCCAAUCCAUCGAUUUUUUGAACCUAGGAACCUUGGAUUGGAGUUGGAAAUCCCCAAACUCCCUGAAAUUGUAUGCAGAAAUUAGUGGGAAUGAGCAUUUUAGGGGGAUGAGGAUCCAUCGCCAACAAGGUUUCAAAGGGAGAUGUCACCCCCAAAGAGUUAACCACAAUCUCUCUAUGCCACAGGGAGGAAACUGAGGCCUAGAUGUCAUUUGAGAUCCUUCACAACCAAUUUGAAGCCCCUGUUUGAAUCCCUGGGAUAUGUGAGCUUUUCUGUGCAUAAUGGAUAUUGGGGUAACAACACUCCACUGCUUGGCUUUUUUCCUGAGUCCUUUCCUUUCCCCAUGGGGGGUGCCCGAAGGGUGGCUAAUGCAUAUGGUACAGUGGCAUCCAGUAUAAAGCAGCUGAAACUAGGAGUGGAUGUGUUCUCUGGUAUCAAGAAGCCUAUUUAAUCUUUGGCCCAUUAACUUUGUUGCUGCUUAUACUGGUGCCUGACUACCUUUCUGACUCUUUCAUUGACCAUUUUUCACGACCAUGUCUGCCAUCUGUUACUUGCUCCUAUUUUAUACCCCUAGUCUAUGUGGUUGGUAGUGAGCAGGCUUAUUUUUAAAUGGUGCUGCCAAGUCUAGCUAAUUAAUGGUGCAGGUGGAUUUUUCGGAAGCUGGCUAACGAACAGACUGAUCCAGGCAUGGAAUUCCUGAAGAUGUUGGGGGGUUAUCUUUAUUAAUUGAAGGUUAACAUUUUCUGAAAAAUUGCGUUUGAACCUGUGCUGAACCUCAGAAUCAGUAGAUUUGGAAGUUUUCCCAAGCUUAACUUUUUCCUGGACUGCUCUGUAUUCUAUUUGCUUGCAAGUGUGUUGCUAAGGUGGCCAAAAAUGCCAGUUUUUUGCUUCCUUGUUAAUUGUCAGCUGCUUUUACCCAGCAAACACUAUAGAAAUGUUUGAACAGUUGGAUUUCAAACAUUUUUGUUUUGUGGAGUGGUGCAACUCUAAGCAAACGAACACACACGAUUAAGUGUAUUUUGUCUGGUUAGGUGUUACCCGGUUCUGCUAUUGCAUACAAAUGUCUGGGAAAAAAAUCAGUUGACUGUUGCCUUUACCUAAAGGGCAGAGACAGAUGAUCUUACUUCCAGAGAAAUAACUUAUUUGGGGGGAAAUGUGUUGGUCUUUUGUAAUAAAACCUGGAUGUACUGCAAACGAAUCUUGAUUGUGGUGAGAAGAUGCUUUUCUCAGCAGAAAAGAGGGACACAAACAUCUGGAACUCAAAGCUUGAAAUUCUGUGACAAAACACGAGAUGUCCAGGAUAGAGGGUUGAAAGGGUUUCACUACAGUGUUUCGCACUAGCUGGAGCCGAUGCCCGUUAGUAGCCACGGCAUGGACUCCAGAUUUGCAAGACCUGGGACCUGGAUGCGUUUAUGAGGAUGUGACAGGAACUCUGGAGCUGGAUAUGUUUACUUUGGGGACUAUUGACCUCGCUUUCAGAAGAGAGACGACAACUAACCAAGCAAUGCCACUAGCGCUGUUACUGGGAAUUUGAAGACCUGAGUUUCUGCCAGACCUCAGUGCAAACUCUGAUGACACUGCAUCCAAAGUGAACUACGAUAGCAAGCCCCUUGGAAAAAAAGGGUCUUCGAAUCUUUGCCCACACAUACUACCACAUGUGAUGAAGCUUUUAAUAGAAAAGAGGAAUUCAGAGAGCAGGCUGUCCCAGAAUGAGCAUUCACCUACAGAUUUGGUACCUGGAUUUCUGUCCAUGGUGAUUUCUAUCACCUUACUACUGAAGAAGAUACCAUCCCAGUAGACCACUAUGACCCAAGGGACAUUCAACCAUCAUGAUGUGGUCUUCACCUCCAUUCCUGUCCUUCUCUACCCAGAUUGAGCACCAUCCUUUAUGUGAAGUCAAACUCCUCAAGCCAAAUAGCUGGAACUGUUUCAUCACAACAGAGGCUCAGUUUGUUCCAUGAGUGUGUAUUUUGUUUCUUCAGUUAAAGCCUUCAGAGACACAUAAUAAAUUUGGACCCAGGGGAUUCUUAGUUCUCAACAUUGUCUGGAGAAUGGUAACAUCUUGAGAACAACAUUGGACCACAACCCACAAUCUCAAAUGUUUAUGAAGUUUUGAGGAUCCCAUGCAGGUCACUGGACGCUAUUCUUUUUCCACGUCAAAUCUGUAGUAUCCUACUGAAUGAGAAAGCAGAUAUUCUGACCCAUUGGGAUUAAAACAAAGGCCUAGUGAAGUCCUCAUAGCAUCUUUGGGAUUAUUCAGGAACCAGAACUUUUCACACAAAUGUAAGGAAUUUUACAAAGGAAUCCUUUACCCAGCAUCUCACAAAGCUUCAAUCAGAUUCCAGAAAAGGCCACUUGAGACAUCCAGGUAGAACCUAUAUGGUAAUCCCUUAUGUUUUUAUCGCACUUUACAGUCUCAAAGCACUUUUACAUGUGUUAAUAUCAGAAUCACACACUAGACUAUAAUCCUGUUUUGUAAAUGAGGAAAUGGGAUUUGAAAGAUUAUCCAAAAGUAUCAAGUGGUAGAGGCCAAACCUUCUGACUCCUGGUCCAGUUCUUUCCUUGGAAUUAAUUUAGCCUCAACCCACAGUGUUAAAAUGACUGCAGGUUGGGAACCCCAGAAAAGUGUUCUAGCUUCCUGAUCUGGUGACAUCAACAGGAUGUCAUAAAUGUAAUACUGUAAUAGCUGUCCUAGACCAGAAUUCCAUGGAAACACCCCUAAGGUUAAGGAGCAAACUCUCUGUGGUGGUAGAUUGUCCAGUCAACAAGACACACGUUCAUCUGACAACACUACUCAACAUGAAACAAAGCUACUGUUAGAUUUUUUGACUGUCUUUGUAGUCUUCACAAAGAUGGCCUAAUUGAUUGGGGAAUCCCUGUGCAAAUCAUGCCUUUAUUUUGUUAAGUCUUAAGAUCUUAUCGAUGAUUCUUUUAUCCCCUAACUAAUAUUUGUACCAUCCAUUUCAAUCAGUACUGUUCAUGUAUGUGUAAUUGCAUACACAACAUAUAUGUCAUACAUACAGAGCUUCGUAGCCCAGUAAGGUGGUAAAAAUACUAUAAAAUGUGUCCCCUCUCUAAUUGAUAAUGCAGUGUAGUGUAUUAAAGGAUAUCAUAAGGCAGCAAAAAAAACACACACACACAACUAUCAUUUAGCUGUUUAGUCUGGUAUGUUCUAAGUUUAAUCAAACGCAGAAUGUCAUCUUGCAGCAUUCCUUUCAAUGGAAUGAGGCAACUGCUUAAGAGUGGCAUAGCCAGUGCUUCUUGAAUGCCAACAGAUUGCCCUGGAGACCCAGGAAUAAACUGCAUCUUUGACACACACAUCCCUUUUUUCUUAUCAAUAACAGCUUUGAAUUAGUAUGUUUCCAUCAUUUGAGAAUUCUUUAUCUUGACCAUUACCUUGAUUUUUCUGUCAAAGAAACCUCUAGAUUUGUGGGAAUACUGGGGAGGGGGUUGGGGGAAAGUUAAUUCAUCCAAAUUUGGAUGGAUUCUAUGACAUACAGUGAUGUAUUUCUCUGUCCCUAGAAUUGUGCUAUAAACCUAGUUCAAGGUCAUUGCAUCUCAGAUGGGUGAGAAGAUUGGGAAGGGAAAAGAGGAAGUGGGUGGAAAAAAUGGAGAGGAGGGAUGAGGAGAUAUUUUCUUAGAAUUUCUGAGUUGUGGCCCACUGAGAUCUUAUCAGUGCUUGAAGUCACCUAGCAUGGACUUCUUGGAAUAAUAUUUACAAAGAAAUGAAUGCAUUUUGCAGCUGUAUUCUGACUGCAAAAACCCCAGUGCUGUUGUCAUUUAAGACCUUGUUCUCUGAUAGUCAUAAGCCCAAUUUCAGGAAAUGAGAAUUUAUAACAGACUUGAAUGUUAAAUUUCAUAAUUCUAUAAUGUGGCCCACCUUAGGGGAAGAAUGAAUAGGAAAACACCUUGGCUUACCAAAGACUUUGCUUACACAGUUUCUGGUUUCUGUGACCUAUUUUUUGUAUUUCAGCAUUUUGUGAACAACUUAUUCUUAGAUCAUUGGUUUUCCAAAGGCUUUGUGGCCAUGAAGCCCUUUGGACGAAAACUGUGUGGAAGCCCAAAGUAAAAGUGAAGUUGCUCUGGACGAAGCAGAGUGGGGGUCCUGAAAUCUGCCACAAGCAUCUUCCUUUAUCGCCAUGGUGACACCUAAGGAGAGACUUCUUUACAGCACCUAGAAUUCUUCAGAGCACAUUUUGAAAAAACAGUGCUCUAGACAACAAUAUGUUCGACCUGAAUGAUAUUCUGUUCUGUACCUCUACCCAACACAGUCCAUGUUCAGUUAGUGCUGAACAUUCUUAGGAAUACUUACUAUGGACAAACUCAGAAAAGUGCAAGAACUUUGCCCCUAAGUAGUUAUAUGGGCCAAAAGUGUAUCAAAUGAACCUAAAUUAAUCAUGCUCUACCCCCAUAUGGACUUACAGUAAUUCCUGGGUUUGGAUAUAGACAAUAAACCAUAUGUACUCUACACUGACAAACCCCCUUACCCAACUUCUUUCACGAACACCAGAUGCUCUAGUGGUACUUGAAAUACGUGAAUCUGAAGUCUUGAUCCUCCUUGGAUACCUGAAUUGCCAGGUAUUGAAACUGAUGCCUCAUUGAGGCCAUAGUAGACCAACUUGUUCAUCGGACCUCUCAUCAUCAACCAUGGUACUCUACUUCAUGUGCAAGGGAUAACCAUUAACUAUGAAAGCAGAAUUCAAAUUCUGGCAACGUUAACUAAAAGGGUACCUGGUUUUAUCAUUCAUCUUAUUCUCAAACUACAAGUCACUAUGACUCAAUCAGUUGCAGUAAUACUACUGCUUGGUUUUUAUUUACUUUUAACUGCUGUUUCCAGGAUAAAUGAGCUAAUAACAUUUAAUAAGCUAAAAUAAUUCCUCCACCAUCGGCAUAUCUGCUCGGCAUAUUCUGCUCUAAAAUUACAAAUACUCUGCUCUAACUACAUGUAAGACCUGAUCCACAGGAGACCAUCUUUGAAUAUCUUUUCUGAUGUGAUUUAAAAUGUGGCCAUUUGGGAAGUUUUCUUCUAGCCAGUGAGAGUUUUUCCUUUAAGAUGGGUCUUGAUGUCUAGUACCAUCAACUGUAAAUAUUAGGGAUAUUUUGAGGUAGGCACUUGCUGAGAAUCUCAAAUUGUGUAUAAUCUCUUUUGCUGGAAAUGUAGACUGACUUGAAAAAAAAUCUACAAAUCCUUCAGCUAAGGAUUUUGUCAGUAGACUCAAGCUUCCUGUUGUGCUUCCUAAUGUCACAAGACCACAGUCCCUUGUCCUUGUGGAUAUGUUCAUGGAAUUUUACCGGUCUCAGUACUGUUUUAACACUGAUUCAGAGUGGCCAACUUCAUUCCUCAGGCAUUGAGACAACUUACCUGUUUCUGCAGGAAGGAUUCAGUUUGUGAACUUCCAGACCAAAUCAUGUUAAACAAGUAGACUUUGAAAUCUUAUUUACUUCACAGUUGACUUAAGGGCCAGAUGUCCUCAACUACUUUAACGAAUGCACUGGUUAAAUGUUGGGAAUGGUUUCUUUAUAUGUCUCUUAUCCACUAGAUUAAUUAUGAGAACAUGACUUAGUCUUCAAAUCAUCAAUCUAGGCCUAAGCCUGGUUACUCUAGACUGCUUACCGUCAACAAAUAAAGAUAAAAUAAUGACCAUCCUGCUUGUAUAUACAACUAUUAUUUGUAAAGAAGAAAUCUGCAAACUCAACUUUUUUUACUACCUUCCAAAUAGCUAGAUUUUUCUUCUGUACAGGAAAAGACAUUGAUCUACACUGCCAGUUAUUCCCAUUAUUCCUGUCAGACUCAGUCAAAAUGAGGGGCUUAAGGUGAGGAUGAUCGUCUUUCAAGAGUCUAAUGAACACUGUGUAUAAGAAUUGAUGUUUGAAAAAGCAAAAAAACCUAAAAUUCAAACCUAAGCUCUUACCUACUAUCUCCAUGCCUCAGAUCUCAUCUAAGUCCAGCAGCACCAUUCAACCAGUUUGAGGCCUUGACUUGUGUUUGAUUCCCAGAGAUGUGCUGAAUUAUAGAAGAUGGAGAUUUUGAUUACCAAAGAAAGUAGUGCCAAUCUUGAUGAACCCUAUUAUUCCCAGGUGUAGGAACAGACACCUAAACAACCUCACGUCUGGACUGAGAAUAUAGCCUUCUGAGCUGAAAAUUCUUAUUGGGCAAAUGAGCAGGAAGGUGAAAGCUGCUGUACCCGACUGGCUAUUUAAGAUCUGAAAAGUGUAUCCAGAAUAAACACUAUGGAUUAAGCCUGGAGUAAUCCAGGUAAAAACUAAUUUACAGAACUUCAAUAUUAAACUACAUGUUCUUCCUUAGACCCUUGUCAUUGGUAUAGCUGGCCCUGCUGAAGGUACCCUACUUACCUAUUUAUCUGACUCAGCCCUUGCCUGCCUUUUUUGACACGUUGCUGCAAUCAAACUUGCUGUCCUGGAACAGACUACAACUGAUCUCAGCCUAUCUUAUACCUAAUUCCACCAAGGAGUUUUGAACUGAAGCAGCCUGCACCUCACUCCCUGUUCUCCACAGGAAGGACCGUGCUGUAUACUUUUUGACCAGCAUCAGUCCUUUUUUUUUAAGUGCAGAGUAAGCCUCAGCCUAUAUAUAUUUGAUCAUUUUCAGCACCUGGAGAUCCUCCUACCAGAUCUGAAGGAGUGUAGCAGAUAAAAAGCACUGUCAGUUUCUCUCCUGCAGUAAUACAGAAGUUGAGUCUGAAUCAACAGCACAGAAAUGAGAAAUGUUCAACUUGGCGAAAGACUUGAACACAAAAGAUUUCCAGGAAUUUCAAAUUUACCACUGACUUGAAUAGCCUCACAGAACUACUUUCCAUUGGGAGACUAGUCGUCUUGCAUUAUGUCAACUAGAUAAUUGAGCUCUCGGACUCUUAAUACUUAUAUUGAAACUAUGGUAUCAUCCAGAGUAUGUUACUGGACAUGAUUAUUCCAUACAAAUGGACUAUAAGCUUCCUGACGACAGGACAUACUCAUGAUGUGUGUGUUUUUCAGAAUACUUUUAUCAAGAAAGAAUAAUGCCAGCUGUUACAAUUCAACUUUAUGAGCAGAGAUUAAGCUUUUUCAAUAUCCAAUGUUAUCAUUGUUAUCAGUUAUUUUUAAUUGGCCAGCAUUUAUUCCAUCUCUUCCUAACAACUUCCUGAUGUUUCUUGGAACCAUAUCUCCUUAUUUUCAGUCCACAUAGUCCAGACAGUCUGACCUAACCUUAGGGUUCAUGUGUGGACGUGAAGUUCAGACCUGAUCAAUCGGCAUAGUUCAUCUCCUUGAUCAUAGUGAUUGAUUCGAUUCAGGAAUGGUCAUGUGAUUCAAGUUGAUCCAGUGAUAUUCAACCCUAGGAGUUUACUGAACAGUGGAAGAGGAAAUGCUCAGAAACUCUGUAUUUACUGAGGUUGCUUACCUUUGUAGGAUGAACAAGCUCAAACCAGCAGGGUCCACCAUAUAAAAUGAGCCAGUCAGAGAAUGAAGCCAGUGCAGAGGAAAGCGGAGCCAAAUGAUGGAGAGACUUUAGUCCUGAUGACAAUGUGCUCCUAGAUCCAUCCGUGCCUGAAGCGAGUAUAUCCUCUGGAUUUUUCAGUUUUGUGAACCAAUAAAUACCCUUUUGUUUAAGUUA